UUAAUAAGAAGAGAAUAAAUACAACUAAAUAAAGGAUGAUUUGAUGGGCACUAGCAGUUGGGGGAUCAAGAAAGUCUCCCUGUAGAAGGUGGUCCUUGAACUGUGUCUUGAAGAAAGAAUUCUAUGAGGUGAAAAUAAGAGGGAGGAUUGUCGAUAUCAGGGACAGCCAGUACAAGGGCACAGAGAUAGGAGCUGGAGGUUGCGUAUGAGAAACAGAGAACCAAUCUGUCCAAGUGGAGUACAUAGUUGCACAAAGCGAUUAGCCGUACUCUCUCUUCCAGAGUCAUUGAAGGCCAGUGGCAAGAUAAAAGUUAGGACUCGUGUUGAUGCUUUGGAUGACCUUGGCUUCUUCAAUGUCUGACCAAGAUCGGGGUACUCCAUGGCACCUGCUUCAGCCGCUUUCAUGGCUCUUGGGAAAAUUGUUCUCAUCUGCCCAUUCCAUUGAGGGAAAUCUUCACAUACUUGGGUCCUUUGCUUUGAAUCUGUGAAAUGUGGCAUCAGGCUGAGUCGUAUAAUCAGGCUGAUGCAUGGGAGAGGGAAGAGAGAUAAUAUUGCAGCUGUGACCGAAUAAAUAACUGGAACCAGAAGUGUGCUGGUUGGUUGUCUAUGGAGAAAUCCAGAUAAAGUGCCCGGAGCUUGUUUCUGCCACAUCUUGACCUGAUGAGAUCUUUUGAAUCCCACUUCUGUAAUAUCUUUCCAAGUUUAAAAAAAUUAACCUGAUGGGGACAACCAGGUGCUCCUGGGUCCAAAUCUGUCUAAAGACAUUUCCAUGCUGUGUGACCUUGGGUAAGUUACUUAACCCCAAUUGCUUAAACCUUACCAUUCUUCUGCCUUGGAACUAAUACUUAGCAUUGAUUCUAAGACAGAAGGUAAGAGUUUAAAAAAGGGGGAGGGGGGCUUUGUAGCACAGUGGAUUAAAUGCCAGGCCUGGAAUCAGGAGAACCUAGAUUCAAGUCUGGCCUCAGACACUUCCUAGCUAUGUGACCCUGGACAAGUCACUUAACCCCCAUUGCCUAGCCCUUUCCUCUCUUCUGCCUUGGAGCCAAUACACAGUAUUGAUUCCAAGAUGGAAGGUCAGGGUUUUAAAAAAAAAACUACUCUGCUCAUCAUCUCUUAUGGCAACAUAGUAGUAUUCCAACACCUGUUACUGUUGAAGGCACCACCAUCUUCCCAGCCACCCAGGCUCCCAACAGUUAUAGGGAAGGGUUUUGGGAAGGUUAAAUAGAUGGGAUCACACAAACAGCAUAUAAAAAGAGGGUUUAUUUGAGUAAACAGGGAUAAGGGAUUUGGAAGGAGAUUAGGAGAUUAUUUAGUACUAUUAACCCACCCAGGUAUUAAUUCUUAGAUUUUCUAAAUAAACCUUAACUUAACUAACUAAACCAGUAGAAGAUAGAAGGGGUUAGUAAUGCCCACAGGACCAGAUUCUUAAAAACUCCAGAGUCCUUGGUUGGGUCAAAACAGCAGGAUCAAGAUGUAGAGUCUUCACAAGGUCCAGAAAGGGAAGAGGUUCACACCCAUUCACAACUGCCCACCAGAGUGAAGGGGAACCCUCAUUCAAACCUUUAAAAGAUAAUCCAAGUCCUUGGCAGCUCCUAAAUGGGUUUCUUCAGGGAGACACUGACUCACAGUUACUCAGUUGGCCACCCAGCUUGAGAGAGCUACCUUAGACUGCUGACCCAGGCAAGAUGGAAGAUGUCCGCAUGGUGAGUGGCGAUCUGGGGGAGGGGAUUCUGCACUGUGUAUACUGCUUCCCGGUUAGGGUUAGGUUUUUAUAGACUGGCUCUCCAACAGUCUGAGGGACAGUGAACUGGUCCCCUGUAUAAAAAGUUUGGGGACCCCUGCCCUUAACUAAGGACCUACCUUACCCUGACUGGAAAGAUCCAUUGACUGAUGUACAGAAUUUCCUCACAAUUUUACUUCUUAAGGAACCCAUAUGUUUUAUCUGAAAACUGGCCCCAUGCUGGGCAAUUAGUUAUUGUAUCCAUGUUCCUUUGAUUGUUUCUAGACACUUGGGAGCAGUGGGACACUUCUUAUUCAGGGAAUUGUACCUAUUCUCUUUCCCCCUCCCAAUUUGGUAAGUUUCUAACUUUUCAUUCAAUUAAAGAU